AUGGAUCACCCUUUCCCAGGCCCUCUCACUGAGCAGCAGCAGAAGCAGCCCAGCUCCCCUUCGCAGUGCUCUGGUUAUAACCCAUUGUAUUUUGGUGAAGGAACCAAGCUGACAGUUCUCGAGCGUAACAUUUCUGAACCUAAACUUCACAUCCUCGAGCCGUCGAAGGAAGAGAUUGUGCAGAAGAAGCGGGUGACCCUGGUGUGUCUGGCCACUGAUUUCUACCCUGACCACAUUGAAAUCACCUGGAAGAUCAAUGGCAAGAACAGAGAGGACGGGGUUAAAACAGACGAUUAUGCAACCAAGGAUGACAAGAACACAUCCAGCAUCAGCAGCCGGCUAAGACUGACUCCGAGAGAAUGGUUUAACCCCAAGAACACCUUCACCUGCGCUGUGAAGUUCUACAAAGGAAACGGUUCAGAAACUGUAACUCCUGAAAAACACAUUUCUGGAAAGGAUGGUUGCGGUGUCACUUCUGACUCCAUGCACAAGGACUUGGGAGCGGCCCGAUUGACCUACCUCCUCAUGGUGUGUAAGAGCGUCCUGUACGGUCUGCUAGUGACGGCGCUGGUGUGGAAGCUGAAGCCUAAAAUUGAGAAGCGGUUCAACUGAAAGGAGGAGUCCAUGUGAAAACCAGAGAAAUACCUGCUGCCUGCAGACUCAAGUAUAUAGCUGUGUGCACACAUAUCUUACUGUAGGAUUUAUAAACUGCUAAUUUCGCACUGUUGCAUUGUGUGUGUGUGUGUGUGUGUGUGCACGUGCAUGCGUGUGUGCGUGCACGUGUGUGUGUGCAUGCGUGUGUGUGCACGUGUGUGUGUGUGUGCGUGCGCGUGUGUGUGUGCACGUGUGUGUGUGCACGUGUGUGUGUGUGUGUGUUGUGUGUGUGUGUGUUGUGUGUGUGUGUGUGUGUGUGUGUGUGUGUGUGCGUGCGCGUGUGUGUGCGUGGAGAGACGGGGAUGGAGGGAGGGGGGUAUACAGAAAUAUAUAGCAGCAUUUCUGUAAUUUAAUAUUUUAGACACAAUCAGUUUUAAUGAAGUAAAACUGCACAAUUAUAUUGUAAUAAACAAUCUUUUUUUGUAUUUACAGUAUAUGUCAUUUCCCUAUGCUUCUAUUCUCCCUGUGUACUUAAUAAA